GACGAACGCUGGCGGCGUGCCUAAUACAUGCAAGUCGAACGCUUCUUUCCUCCCGAGUGCUUGCACUCAAUUGGAAAGAGGAGUGGCGGACGGGUGAGUAACACGUGGGUAACCUACCCAUCAGAGGGGGAUAACACUUGGAAACAGGUGCUAAUACCGCAUAACAGUUUAUGCCGCAUGGCAUAAGAGUGAAAGGCGCUUUCGGGUGUCGCUGAUGGAUGGACCCGCGGUGCAUUAGCUAGUUGGUGAGGUAACGGCUCACCAAGGCCACGAUGCAUAGCCGACCUGAGAGGGUGAUCGGCCACACUGGGACUGAGACACGGCCCAGGCUCCUACGGGAGGCAGCAGUAGGGAAUCUUCGGCAAUGGACGAAAGUCUGACCGAGCAACGCCGCGUGAGUGAAGAAGGUUUUCGGAUCGUAAAACUCUGUUGUUAGAGAAGAACAAGGACGUUAGUAACUGAACGUCCCCUGACGGUAUCUAACCAGAAAGCCACGGCUAACUACGUG
rnacentral:rRNA from 1 species